UACGGAGGGUGCGAGCGUUGUCCGGAAUCACUGGGCGUAAAGGGCUCGUAGGCGGCCAACUAAGUCCGACGUGAAAUCCCCAGGCUUAACCUGGGAACUGCGUCGGAUACUGGAUGGCUUGAAUCCGGGAGAGGGAUGCGGAAUUCCAGGUGUAGCGGUGAAAUGCGUAGAUAUCUGGAGGAACACCGGUGGCGAAGGCGGCAUCCUGGACCGGCAUUGACGCUGAGGAGCGAAAGCCAGGGGAGCAAACAGG
rnacentral:rRNA from 1 species